GACAGAGGGUGCAAACGUUGUUCGGAUUUACUGAGCGUAAAGCGUGUGUAAACGGCUUUGCAAGUCGGAUGUGAAAUCCCACGGCUCAACCGUGGAAGUGCAUCCGAAACGGCAUCGCUUGAGUCUCGGAGAGGAAGGUGGAAUGCUUGGUGUAGAGGUGAAAUUCGUAGAUAUCAAGCAGAACACCUGCGGCGAAGACGGCCUUCUGGACGAUGACUAACGCUGAGACACGAAAGCGUGGGAGCAAACAGG
rnacentral:rRNA from 1 species